CCUACGGGUGGCAGCAGUGGGGAAUAUUGGACAAUGGGGGUAACCCUGAUCCAGCCAUGCCGCGUGUGUGAAGAAGGCCCUCGGGUUGUAAAGCACUUUCAGUGAGGAAGAACGCCUGGUGGUUAAUACCCAUCAGGAAAGACAUCACUCACAGAAGAAGCACCGGCUAACUCCGUGCCAGCAGCCGCGGUAAUACGGAGGGUGCGAGCGUUAAUCGGAAUUACUGGGCGUAAAGCGCGCGUAGGUGGCUUGAUAAGCCGGUUGUGAAAGCCCCGGGCUCAACCUGGGAACGGCAUCCGGAACUGUCAAGCUAGAGUGCAGGAGAGGAAGGUAGAAUUCCCGGUGUAGCGGUGAAAUGCGUAGAGAUCGGGAGGAAUACCAGUGGCGAAGGCGGCCUUCUGGACUGACACUGACACUGAGGUGCGAAAGCGUGGGUAGCAAACAGGAUUAGAUACCCCAGUAGUC
rnacentral:rRNA from 1 species